ACUCCAGAGUCCCGCACAGCUGAGGACCUGCUGCAGCACCGGGCUCUGGACACACUACACGGACAACUUUCUGCCUUGUGAUUUUCGGAGGGCAUCUGCUCUUUUGGAUUAUAUUCACUGACGACUGUUAGAAAAAAAAAAAAAAAAAGAGUCUUAAUCCUAAAUAACAUUCUCCCAAAAAGAAAAGGAGCCGCGCUUCUUCCCUGAUAUCUCCUUAAACUGGGCUUAAGUCUGAAGCCUGUUUUGUUUCAGAAGGUGAAGGACAAGUGCAAUGCUGGUCAGGCUGCUCUCUUGGGAUUGUCUCCCUUGCGCUUGAGGAACUAUGCCGAGCUGCAGCACAGGGCUCGUUCAGGAGGACGCACACUCAUGUGAAUAGCAAGAAGCGACGUCCAGCCUCGUCAGCCUUUCUACAGUUUCCAGCAAGUGCAGCACGGUGUCCCGACUGAGCCGCUGCGCUGCUCGGACACUCCGGUUUCUCUCCCCGAGGGGAUGGUUGUGGAUCCUGUGGGGCCAGGAGCGACGCUGAGGCUCCUACACGGCAGCACCUUUUUCGUGUCUGGGGUUAAUUCUAAAUUAAAGGGAAAUGAGAGCCGCACUUGGUUACUUCCUGCUGUGGACGACGUACCUGCUGCUGGUCACUGCUGAGGAAGUGGAGUUUCCCCAGGAGCUGAUAGACCGACUGUCCCACAGUGAGAUCCACAGCAUCAGCGACCUCCAGCGGCUACUGGAGAUUGACUCCGUAGGAACAGGAAACGAUGUCAUUGAGGAGGCGAAGUACCACAAGCACCACAACCACCACAAGAACUACUCUCGUCAUCACGGUUACUACAAUGACCUGAAGAGUUCUCAGCUACACAGCCGGCGCAAGAGGAGCAUCGUAGAGGAGGCUGUCCCGGCGGUGUGUAAGACACGGACGGUGAUCUAUGAGAUUCCCAGGAGCCAGGUGGAUCCCACGUCUGCCAACUUCCUGAUAUGGCCGCCCUGUGUGGAGGUGAAGCGCUGCACAGGCUGCUGCAACACCAGCAACAUGCGCUGCCACCCGUCCCGCAAGCACCACCGCACCGUUAAGGUAGCCAAGGUGGAGUACGUGAGGAGGAGGCCGAAGCUGAAAGAGGUCUUUGUGCGGCUAGAAGACCACCUGGAGUGUGUGUGCACAUCACAGCAUCACGUGGCGGAGCACUCAGAUGCAGAAACAGGCCACCGUAGGGCUAAAGGUAAAAAAAGGAAACCUAAAAAGCUAAGGCCCAGCAAGGAUUUAUUGGUGACAUAAUAAAGUUGGUGCUCAUUACCCAAAGUCCACUGGAGAGCUGUGAAGGGAACAGUGGAUGUGAGGUGAGACCAAUCAGAACAAGGGACUUCAGCGUGGGACGGACCUGAACAUAGAGGAGGCCACCAACAGGAGCCCUGCUCUGUCCUCUUCCCCACUGUUGUGCAACCUUCGUUUAAAAAAAACAAACUUUUCUGUAAAGUCGAGAGACUGAAAAAUAGACAACAGACAAAAAGCAAUAAGAUGCCAAAGGUGCUUUUUUUUUUUUAAAAAAAACAAACAAAAAAACAACAACAACAAACUACAAAACGAUAACCAGAGACUUCCUCUGUGGUUUUCCACAGACAACUGAACUGUGCCGCUUAUUAAGAAGAAACGAGGAGAUGCUGUGGAGCUCGGGCGGGGCAGACAGGCCGAAGGGAGAUGAUGAAAGGGAUACGUGUUGAACAUUUUUGACUGACUUUGUUUGAAUAAGACACACAGCAGAAAUGGCUGUUAAACAGUUGGAUCAAGCUUUCAUGGGAAUCCGAUUCAACAUUAGCGCCCUGCCCCGUUUAAAUGACUCAUGCACACAGAGGAAGGAAGACAGAGAGAUAUAGAAAUGACAGUGGAAAGAAAAAAUAGAGACGGACGGAGAGUCUCUGUGGAGCUUCAGACUUUUUGACUCAUUGGACGAUUGCUCUGAGUAAAGGGUUAAUCUUCUCUGAGACCCCUGGUUGUCUGUGACUUUGCCCACCUGUUAUGUACAGUUAAAUUUGAAAAAAGGAAGAUGCGCCGCUACUUACAAACUAUUUAUAUGUGUGGACGUUUGCUUUCUGUCUCCUCCAAUACAAAAGAAAGAACAAAAAAGGUGUUUUUAUUGAUAUUGCAGACAUGCAAGAGUUCUGUGUGGUCCGGUUCUCUGUAGCCAUCAGCAUCACAAUCUCAGUGUCAUUUUUUUUUUAGUUGUUGUUUUUCUUGUCAGCCAUGUUUCUUAUUAUAUUACAGUAUAUCUGAUUGAUGUCAAGUCUUGUAUAUGGUUUGGAUAUAUGUGUGCAAGGAGGAGAUGUGAGAGUCAGUACAGGCAGAUGCUUUAUUUUUGUUAUGAAAUAUAUUAUGCAUACUUAUAUUCAAGCAGGAAUUAUGUUUAUUUCUUUUGUUGUGGUUGAAUGUCUGUAUUUAAUCCAUUGGAAGAAAAUGAAAAAAUCUGGGAAAUGUUUGGCUUGGCUCGGACAUGGCGGCCUCAAAGUGAGAGGUAGCGUACUGUAGUUCAUGGUACAGUUGUGGCGACUGCCCAGUCCUUUGUGUGCAUAUCGGAGUGUGUGCAUCCCAAUCCCAUAAGCACUCAGACACACUAGAGCAAGCAUGGCUGAAUGAAGGGGGAUGGACGGGCUGCGUGUGCGUGCUUACACACAGUUUCUCUGCUACACGAGGCUAUUUUUCAUCCAUAUCUCUCCGACGUUGAUAAGGAAGAUGCCCGCCCAGUCUGCUUCACGAGCGCACACGUUGUGCCUGCAGAAGAGCAAAGUCCACCUUAAAGUCUGAAUGAGAGAGGAGAGCAAAUCGACAAGGGCAUGAAUGGGCUCCUUGUUUAUUCAGGCUUUACUCUUGUGUUGACAGGAGAACAAAUGUCUGAUCACUCCACCCUGUGUAGUUACACUUCAUGCAGCCUCGAACCAUCAGGACAGACAAUGAUCAGCUCUCUGAGGUGGAAACAGAACAGUGCACCGGUGGAACACUUACUUCCCGACCAGUCCGUGUGAUGAAUGUGCAACCAGGGCAACGUGGCGCAACAACAACGGCCCUCUUCCACCCUGUGUUAGAAUGAGGACGUUUGACUGGCGUUUUUCAAACAGACAAAGGUGAAAGAGUGCAAAGCGAAUCAAGCGAAAGUCACAUGAGAAAAGUUGAACGGAAACAUGGCUGUGUCAGCUCCUGCUGCGCUGUGGACAUCCCACCACACCCACAGCCCACCUGUGAAUUAUACACUGACUGGUGCUAUAUGUGUAAGGCUGAUGUUUCACCACUGUUCACAUCCACAUGUACGUCACUGUAAGAUAGUGUUCUCAGUAAAUCAGGGACCAUGUGUGGAGCUGUUUGAUUGGACAACGUGAUGCAUUAUGCUUUUAUUAAGCCUCUAUUACUUUUCCUUUGAGCUACCAUUGGAUAAAGACAGCAACAAUCAUAAUUUAUAUAUUUAUGUUUUCAACAAUAAAUAUAUUUCUGCUUAUGAAA